CGGGACUGACGGGGCUCGAACCCGCAGCUUCCGCCUUGACAGGGCGGUGCUCUCACCAAUUGAACUACAAUCCC
rnacentral:tRNA from 1 species